GGCUGAGAUAUUGCAAUUAACUCUAAGCUUCAGCGCAGAGGCGACCCCAGACUUUCAGAGGCCUCAGAUUAAGAUCAGAGUAAGGCACCUUGUUUAUGCUUUCCAUGUAAAGUUGCCAUACUCAAAAUGAAUAUUACAAGCAAUGUUUUCAUAAAUUAAACCACUGCAUUAAAAUGUAAAUGCUUCAUCUGAUAUACUUCUGCAUAUUUAUGAUUGUGUGGAGAAAAAUGUAGUACCUUUAGAUAAACAAAUGAGUCAAACUAAAAAGCACAAAUCAACCAGUGAAUCAAUCAUUUAUCAUUUAAAUACUCAAAACAAGUCCCCUCUGUACACCCUCUUUGGGCAGACAUCUCGAUGAAGUCCCAGCAUUGACUAAAUAGAAUUAAAGCAUAAUUGGAGACAAACACAACACAGCACAGAAGGGGACAUGAGAGUCUUGCUGAUGUUGUCUUGUGUUUUUUUGGUGCCAGAUUUAAAAGUGAUGCUUCGAAACUUCAGUUUUAAGACAUUACUGUCACUAACUGGAAUAUUUUUGUGUGAUAUCUGUUAUUGAUGUUAUCUGUCUGCAGAUUCUCAAUGCUCUUUCAUCCAGAAAUGUUCUCCUUGAACUGAAGGCCUCUGACUUCUUUUGUGCUGGAAUAUUCCUCAUCAUAUCUCCUCCUUCUCUUGUGAUGAUCCACCAGACUGAAGCUGGGAUAUGUAUUUUCUGUGCUGCACCGUAAUUCUGUAAAAGGCAGGCUGUUUGUUUGGUUACAGAGGUUUUACCAAAUCCAAAUGCCAUGAAGUUGAAUAAUUUUUGGCCCG